rnacentral:lncRNA from 1 species
AGAGGUUGCUGUGGUGCAGGCUGGCAGGGCAGGAGCUGACCUUUCCGGAAUGGAAUGCUGCCUGAGCAGUCAGCUCCAGAAGGGAAGGGGGCGUUGGGCCACUUCCCUCACCCUCUCCAGUCCUCAGCUCCCCUGAGACAGGUCUCGGAGCCCUGGCCUCUCUUGUGGGGAAGGGGGCAGGUGAGGCUGGCUGACUGUGUGGACACUUGCCUGAUCACUUCAAGUCAAGCCACCUGGGCCAGGCUGAUUCCAACCUGACUAGGGAUAAGCUUCACAACAAAUCUACGAAGCAGACAGACGCUGUUUACCUCCUGGAGGCUAUCCAAGACCACACAGCUGGAACCAGGGUUUGCUCUACAGACCAUGGUCUCAGCGACGAUCACUGCUGCCUCCUGGGCAGGGACCACCCGAGGAACUGAGGUGGGUAGGCAGGCUAAACAGAAUUUCAUGGUAUUGGCGUAGAAGGGAUCUGCGGGGUCACUCAGUCUAACAUCUUUAUUUACAGAUGAAGGAAACUCCAGAGAGGGACGUGACUUGCCCCAGGUCCCACACAGCACAGGGCUGACCAGAACUGGGGGGACUUGGGCACAACAGGGAGCCCCAGGCCAGAUCCUGGCUACCCCACAUCAGUUCAGAGGCGCUUGAGGGCAAGGACCCCAUUUCACCCUUUAUUCCCUCCUUCUGCCCCACUGUGCCGACCACAGGGUGGAGCACAGAGUAGGUGCUCAAAAUAUCUUUGGCGAUGGACCCACCUCUCAUCCCUCUGCAGCUGCAGCCCCCGGCCACUUAGGCCUCUGUUCAUGUAGCCAGCAUUUAGUAAGUGCCAACUGCAUUCUUGGCGCACUACCGG